rnacentral:rRNA from 1 species
UGCGUAGGGACCAAGCGUUGUUCGGAUUUACUGGGCGUAAAGGGCGCGUAGGCGGCAAUUCAAGUCAUCUGUGAAAUCUCCGGGCUUAACUCGGAAUGGUCAGGUGAUACUGCUUUGCUAGAGUGCAGAAGGGGCAAUCGGAAUUCUUGGUGUAGCGGUGAAAUGCGUAGAUAUCAAGAGGAACACCUGAGGUGAAGACGGGUUGCUGGGCUGACACUGACGCUGAGGCGCGAAAGCUAGGGGAGCAAACGGG